GCCGGACUUAAAGCAUGUCUCCCGAAAGUGGGCCCGGUUUCGGGACAAAGACAUGCUUAAAAUCAAAAACCUAAAGCAGGUCGCGUGAAUCCUUUUCACGCGACCUGCUUUAAGUCCGGCUUUGCGUCAAAAGCAGGUCUCGCCUUGACCUAUUUG
rnacentral:ncRNA from 1 species